GUCUUUUUGAAAAUAAUUUAAAGUCUAAUCUGCCCACUGAACAAAGUUUAAAGGGCUGCAGUAUAUUGACUGUACAAAGGUAGCAUAAUCAAUAGUCUUUUAAUUGAAGACUUGUAUGAAUGAUUUGAUGAGAUAUAAACUGUCUCUUUAUUAAAAGUAGAAAUUAAUUUUUUAGUUAAAAAGCUAAAAUAAAUAUAAAAGACGAGAAGACCCUAUAGAGUUUAAUAUUUAUUUUUAUUUAAAUUUUGUAUAAAUUUUAAGAUUUAAAUUAAAUAAAAUAUUUUAUUGGGGUGAUAGAAAAAUUUAUGAAACUUUUUUUAUAAAAUUAACAUUGAUUUAUGAGUAUAUGAUCCAUUAAUUAUGAUUACAAGAAUAAAUUACCUUAGGGAUAACAGCGUAAUUUUUUUUUUUUAGUUCAAAUAAAAAUUAAAGUUUGCGACCUCGAUGUUGGAUUAAGAUAAAAUUUAAAUGCAAACGUUUAAAAUUUUGAUCUGUUCGAUCAUUAAAAUCUUACA
rnacentral:rRNA from 1 species